CGCUACCUUUGCUUUUCCAACGUUACAGAUUCACUUGUAAAACAAAAAAGAAAACUUUCCAUCUUCUUCGUUUGCUACACGCCUACACUCAUAAAUCAAGUCGCCACCACAGUUACACAUUAUCUCUGUAGCUGCGCGGCAGUAGCGGUAACGACGUUGUUUGUUCAUAGCUUCAACGCUUACGGUGAUGACAUUUUUGUUCACGACUUAAAGUUCAAUAACAGUUUCGACAACGAUUUUGCCGGCGGCUUCGAUGACUUCGUUCACGGUAUGAUGGUGCUAGUAAUUUGUGGAAUGAAUUGUAGACACUAUUUCUCAAGGAUUGUCCACAUUGUUUUGUACACAAAUUACAACUUACUGAGAAAUUUUUAUUGUUCAUGA